GCUCAGGAUGAACGCUAGCUACAGGCUUAACACAUGCAAGUCGAGGGGUAGCAGGGUAGCAAUACCGCUGACGACCGGCGCACGGGUGAGUAACACGUAUCCAACCUUCCCAUAACUCGGGGAUAGCCUUUCGAAAGAAAGAUUAAUACCCGAUAGUACUUAUAUAGGGCAUCCUACAUAAGUUAAAGAUUUAUUGGUUAUGGAUGGGGAUGCGUUCCAUUAGAUAGUUGGUGAGGUAACGGCUCACCAAGUCUUCGAUGGAUAGGGGUUCUGAGAGGAAGGUCCCCCACAUUGGUACUGAGACACGGACCAAACUCCUACGGGAGGCAGCAGUGAGGAAUAUUGGUCAAUGGGCGAGAGCCUGAACCA
rnacentral:rRNA from 1 species